rnacentral:rRNA from 1 species
UACGUAGGGUGCAAGCGUUAAUCGGAAUUACUGGGCGUAAAGCGUGCGCAGGCGGUUUUGUAAGACUGACGUGAAAUCCCCGGGCUCAACCUGGGAAUGGCGUUGGUGACUGCAAGGCUAGAGUUUGGCAGAGGGGGGUAGAAUUCCACGUGUAGCAGUGAAAUGCGUAGAUAUGUGGAGGAACACCGAUGGCGAAGGCAGCCCCCCUGGGUCAAAACUGACGCUCAUGCACGAAAGCGUGGGGAGCGAACAGG